UACAGCUAAGUGUUAGUCUAUGAAUGUAAUAUAACAGUGGUUUAAAAUCAACAGAUUGUAACAAAAGUCCCUCACAGGAGACAAAGCUGGUGCCGUGAUCUCUAUUGCAUUAAUGAGACAAAUGAGGAUAGGAAACAUCAUGUGGCUUCCCAGGGCUCCAUGGCAGGGGCGUGGCAGGGGGGAUUUGAGUCCAGGCUCCUACUCCAGUGCUGACCUUUCCCGUCACUUUCCUGCUGCCCAGUGUGAGCUCUAUCCUGUCCAGAGUCAUGAAGUAUUAGAGCACAUGGAUGUCUUAUAGAUGAUCUUGUCCAAGUCAUUCAUUUUAGAAGAGCUGAUGGAACUUCAGAGAGGUUAAAUUCACCUGUUGCAGGUCACCUAUCUCCUUAGUGACAAGUUUGAGAUUACAGCCCAACUUCAAGUCACACUGACUCUUGUGAUUAUAAGUGAAAUCAUACUUGGCCACUCA